ACACGAUCAGAUAUAAGAUCACAAUAUAUACCAAGUCUUCUUGCAACGCUCUGAAAUAUGACUAUCAGCGGUAUUGUCGAAAGAGAUCUGAUUUCAAAGAAUGUACAACUGCGUCAAAGAACUGUUCGCGAGAUGCCGAGAAUAUUGGAUGCUUGGG